rnacentral:rRNA from 1 species
UAUCUCUGUAGAGUCUGCAUAUCAAUAAGCGGAGGAAAAGAAACUAACUAGGAUUCCCUCAGUAACGGCGAGUGAAGCGGGAAGAGCUCAAAUUUGAAAUCUUCAAGGUUCUACCUUGACGAAUUGUAGUUUAAAGAAGUGUUUUCUGUUGGAGUUUUGGUAAAAGUUCUUUGGAAUAGGACAUCAUAGAGGGUGAGAAUCCCGUAUUUGACCAUUAUUUCCAGCUUUGUGAUACACUUUCAAAGAGUCGGAUUGUUUGGGAAUGCAGUCCAAAAUGGGUGGUAAAUUUCAUCUAAAGCUAAAUAUUGGCGAGAGACCGAUAGCGAACAAGUACCGUGAGGGAAAGAUGAAAAGAACUUUGAAAAGAGAGUUAAACAGUACGUGAAAUUGUCAAAAGGGAAGCGUUUGACACCAGUGUUGUUUUCUCGAAAAUCAAUUAAAAAAAGUUGGAUUUUGUAUUGUUAAGACCUUAUCAGCUUACUGUACUCUUUUCUUGCUUUUUUUAAUGCACUUUUCGUUUAACAAGUCAACAUCAAUUUCUUUUGUUGUAAAAGAGUCAUUGGAAGGUGGCUUUCACUUCGGUGAAAGUGUUUAUAGCCUUUGGCUUCUGCAAUCGGAGAGAUUGAGGUCUGCAGCGUAGAUCCUUCGGGGCUAGAUACGUAGAUGCUAAGUUAUAGUUUUUUAUAGACAACUUGUUGACUAUAAUUAAUCAUGUAGCUUACUCGUUUGCGCUAUUUUACCUACGCUUAGGAUGUUGAUAGUCACAGCGUGUA